CCAGCAGCCGCGGUAAUUCCAGCUCCAAUAGCGUAUAUUAAAGUUGCUGCAGUUAAAAAGCUCGUAGUUGGAUCUUGGGAGCGGGCGGGCGGUCCGCCGCGAGGCGAGCCACCGCCCGUCCCCGCCCCUUGCCUCUCGGCGCCCCCUCGAUGCUCUUAGCUGAGUGUCCCGCGGGGCCCGAAGCGUUUACUUUGAAAAAAUUAGAGUGUUCAAAGCAGGCCCGAGCCGCCUGGAUACCGCAGCUAGGAAUAAUGGAAUAGGACCGCGGUUCUAUUUUGUUGGUUUUCGGAACUGAGGCCAUGAUUAAGAGGGACGGCCGGGGGCAUUCGUAUUGCGCCGCUAGAGGUGAAAUUCUUGGACCGGCGCAAGACGGACCAGAGCGAAAGCAUUUGCCAAGAAUGUUUUCAUCAAUCAAGAACGAAAGU
rnacentral:rRNA from 1 species